CCUCUGAGACACAAACCACCAGAAGAAAAAGGAACUUCAGGAAGCAAGAGGUAGCCCCUGGUUUCAAUCCCAUUUUUAGUCUUUGCGGGGCUGUCGGGAGGGAGUUCACACCUCCGAGGACCAGCUAUGAACUCCAAGGAGCCGGGCAGUGGGCACAGAACACGGCGCCACAAGGAGCCACACGUGCCUGGGGCCAGAGCACAGAGGGGGCGGGGGCUCGUCAGAGACCCAGACUGGACUGCGGGGGAUCCGUACUCAUGGCCCACACCCUUGCCUCCACCAAGGCCCCAUCACUCUUCCCACUGGCCCCCUGCUGUGGGGACACAUCUGGCCCCAUGGUGGCCCUGGGCUGCCUGGUCUCCAGCUACAUUCCAGAGCCAGUGACCGUGUCCUGGAACUCGGGCUCCCUGACCAGUGGCGUGCACACCUUCCCGCCCGUCCUGAGGUCCUCGGGGCUCUACACCCUCAGCAGCAUCGUGAGCGUGCCUGCCAGCAGCUUGGAGAGCCAGACCUACACCUGCAACGUAGCCCACCCGGCCAGCAGCACCAAGGUGGACAAGAGAGUCGUCGUAAGAGACCCGAAGUCCUGCAGCAAGUCUCCCGAAUGCCCAGGAGGGCCUUUGGUCUUCAUCUUCCCCCCGAAACCCAAAGACACCCUCAUGAUCUCCCGAAGGCCUGAGGUCACUUGCAUGGUGGUAGACGUGAGCCAUGAAGACCCCGAUGUCCAGUUCACCUGGUACAUGGAUGCCACAGAGGUGAGCACGGCUGCAAUGAAGAUAAAGGAGGAGCAGUUCAACAGCACCUACCGCGUGGUCAGCGUCCUCCCCGUCCAGCACCAGGACUGGCUGAGUGGAAAGGCGUUCAAGUGUAAGGUCAACAACAGAGCCCUCCCGGCCCCCAUUGAGAGGACCAUCUCCAAGGCCAAAGGGCAGGCCCGGGAGCCACAGGUGUACAUCCUGCCCCCACACCGGGACGAGCUGUCCAGGAACACGGUCAGCGUGACCUGCCUGGUCAAAGACUUCUACCCACCUGACAUUGUUGUCGAGUGGCAGAGCGAUGAGCAUCCAGAGCCGGAGGGCAAGUACAGCACCACCCCGGCCCAGCGGGACAGCGACGGGUCCUACUUCCUGUACAGCAAGCUCUCAGUGGAGACGGACAGGUGGAAGCAGGGAGAAAUGUUCACAUGUGCGGUGAUGCACGAGGCUCUCCACAAUCACUAUAGGCAGAGAUCCAUCUCCCAGUCUCCGGAGAUGGUCCUGGACCAGAGCUGUGUCGAGACCCAAGAGGGAGAGCUGGACGGGCUGUGGACCACCAUCUCCAUCUUCAUCACACUCUUCCUGCUCAGUGUGGGCUACAGCGCCACCGUCACCCUCUUCAAGGUGAAGUGGAUCUUCUCCUCGGUGGUGGAGCUGAAGCGGACCAUCGUCCCCGACUACAGGAACAUGAUCGGGCAGGGGGCCUAGGGCCACUCCUCCUGGGCAGGCGUCCCGGGCCGCCCCAGACCCCAGACAGGAUCAGGGUCCGUCAGUUCUUGCUGCUCAGCCUGCCGCCCAGACCUGCUCCUCUGCCCUCUGACCUCGCCAGACUCUGACCUCACGGCCCCUUUGGCCUGCACCCAGCUCUCUGGCUUCCCAGUCACCACAGGCUGUAUCCUGCCCCCUGGCUUCAUUUGGAGAACCAAGCGGACAGCAGCUGCAACCCCAAACUGAGCUGGUGGACGCCCACUGGCCCCUCCAAGCAACAACCAAGAAACUCCAGGGCCGUGUGGACGCUGAGUCAUCAGGGCCUAGCGUCCCUCACCAGGACUGCCCCGGGGUCAGCGUGUGUGGUCACCCUGGAGGAGGUGGAGGGCCAACGUGCCCCUGUCUUUCUGGGCAGGGACGGGUCUUCACGCAAAUCGCAUCCAUGCCAGGGUAGAGGACACAGGUUUCCCGAGAGGAGACGUGAGGUGUCAGAUCCUCGAGUGGGAACAUCUGCCAGCAAGGCCAGGAGGACACAGGGCCCUCGUCCAUCAACAGGGAAGCUUCCAGACCUGCCUGUAACGGUCAAUCGGAUCGACUCUACCCAAGAAGACCACUCAGAAGAAGGCCUGGGCCCACGGCCACUGCAGGCGCCGUGGCGGAUGGCGGCAGCAGAACGCGGGGUGGGGGUAAGCGUCCGGCCAGAUGGGCCUCCUGGAGAGGGGCCGGAGUCACAUUCCACGGGAAAUCCAGGUUGCUCCAUGGCCUAGGAGUGAGAGAUGAGCCCACCGAGGAAGGAGCCCAUGGCCUUGGGGAGCAGACCGGGUGACCAAGCUCAGAGACCCAGCCUCACAGCCCUCGGAACUGAUUCCCCUCUCACGUCUAGAGCGAAUGGCAAGUACCCAAUUUAGAUGGGAAGGACAUGGAUGCACACAGGAAGGGGAGGCAGACCCCUGCCCCAACUACCAGGGGACAGACAGCAGAGAGGUUGCUCAAAGGAAAGGCCACAGUUGUAGCUUUGGUAUCUUUUUUCCUUCUUUUUAACUUUCUGGAGCCCACUGAUUUUCUUUACCAUUUCUUUU